GACGAACGCUGGCGGCGUGCUUAACACAUGCAAGUCGAACGGAAAGGCCCUGCUUUUGUGGGGUGCUCGAGUGGCGAACGGGUGAGUAACACGUGAGUAACCUGCCCUUGACUUUGGGAUAACUUCAGGAAACUGGGGCUAAUACCGGAUAGGAGCUCCUGCUGCAUGGUGGGGGUUGGAAAGUUUCGGCGGUUGGGGAUGGACUCGCGGCUUAUCAGCUUGUUGGUGGGGUAGUGGCUUACCAAGGCUUUGACGGGUAGCCGGCCUGUGAGGGUGACCGGCCACAUUGGGACUGAGAUAGGCCCCAGACUCCUACGGGAGGCAGCAGCGGAGAAUAUUGCACAAUGGGCGGAAUCCUGAUGCAGCAACGCCGCGUGCGGGAUGACGGCCUUCGGGUUGUAAACCGCUUUCGCCUGUGACGAAGCGUGAGUGACGGUAAUGGGUAAAGAAGCUCCGGCUAACUACGUG
rnacentral:rRNA from 1 species